rnacentral:rRNA from 1 species
UACGGGGGGGGCAAGCGUUGUUCGGAAUUACUGGGCGUAAAGGGUUCGUAGGUGGCUUGCUAAGUCAGACGUGAAAUCCCUCAGCUUAACUGGGGAACUGCGUCUGAUACUGGCGAGCUUGAGUGCAGGAGAGGAACGCGGAAUUCUCGGUGUAGAGGUGAAAUUCGUAGAUAUCGAGAGGAACACCGGUGGCGAAGGCGGCUAUCUGGACAGUGACUGACGCUGAGACGCGAAAGCGUGGGGAGCAAACAGG